rnacentral:rRNA from 1 species
ACCUACAGCUGUACCACCUAGAACACACCUGAUCUCGUCUGAUCUUGGAAGCUAGGGAGGGUCAGUCCUGGUUAGUACUGAAGGGA